rnacentral:rRNA from 1 species
GUAGGUGGCAAGCGUUGUCCGGAAUUAUUGGGCGUAAAGCGCGCGCAGGCGGUUCUUUAAGUCUGAUGUGAAAGCCCACGGCUCAACCGUGGAGGGUCAUUGGAAACUGGAGAACUUGAGUACAGAAGAGGAAAGCGGAAUUCCACGUGUAGCGGUGAAAUGCGUAGAGAUGUGGAGGAACACCAGUGGCGAAGGCGGCUUUCUGGUCUGUAACUGACACUGAGGCGCGAAAGCGUGGGGGAGCAAACAGGAUUAGAUACCCUGGUAGUCCACGCCGUAAACGAUGAGUGCUAAGUGUUAGGGGGGUUUUCCGCCCCUUAGUGCUGCAGCUAACGCAUUAAGCACUCCGCCUGGGAGUACGGCCGCAAGGCUGA